rnacentral:rRNA from 1 species
UACGGGGGGGCAAGCGUUGUUCGGAAUUACUGGGCGUAAAGGGCUCGUAGGUGGCCAACUAAGUCAGACGUGAAAUCCCUCAGCUUAACUGGGGAACUGCGUCUGAUACUGGAUGGCUUGAGUUUGGGAGAGGGAUGCGGAAUUCCAGGUGUAGCGGUGAAAUGCGUAGAUAUCUGGAGGAACACCGGUGGCGAAGGCGGCAUCCUGGACCAACACUGACACUGAGGAGCGGAAAGCCAAGGGGAGCAAACGGGAGUUAG